UAGAUGCAAAUGACAAAUUUUAUUGCCAUUUCAAAAGUUACGAAGACAAUUUUGAAGCUUGGUUAUUUGCAGUGAAAAUAUUUGUUUAUUUUUGAGGGAUUGUGAAAAUCAGAUGGCUUCAGUUUUUGAUGAACAUUCUCACAAGAAAAACUGUGGUGAAUUAUAUGUAAACUUGUUGAUGGCUGUCCCAAGUUUUCCCCCUGGAUGUUGUGAAGAAACUAAGCUGCUGUUAAUCAAGAUAUUUGUUAAAGUGAGUCUCGUUUACCGGCUCAAAUAUUGGAAUCAAGACUUAGUUUCUAACAACAAGAAAGCAAAUAAGAAACUGAAGAAGUUGGCUCAUUUGGGCUGCUGAUUUCUUUGGACACUAAUGACAGCAGCAGAGAAGCUUGCCGCUGUUCCUGAUGUGGAUAUCGACCCAGAAGGAACAUUUAAGUAUGUUCUAAUACCUGUCUUUGGUCCAGAGGGUCCUGAUGGCAAAGAACCGAGCAAAUUAGUGACAACGGGUGCAUGAAGCUGAGAGAUUCGCUCUUCAAGUUACCAAAGAAGCAAGAAGUGCUAAAAGGAAUGCCAAGAGGAAGCUUGAAGAUGAAGAAAGGCUGCAGGAUGUAGACUAUGCUUCAGGAAUGUUCUGAGGCACAGUUUAAUUGGACUCAUAUGUUCAUUCGCAAUUUCCCGCUAGUUGUUUUCUUCAGAAUUCAGGUGCGAGGAUACAAGUGAGUUGGCUUCCAUUCGGACGUCUACGAUGAGACAAUGGACAGGGUGAAAGGCCUCGGCGUUGAUACCGAGUGCACUGGUGGUGGUAGAAUACAGCACGACCC